rnacentral:rRNA from 1 species
GUGCAGCAGGCGCGAAACCUUUACACUGCACGACAGUGCGAUAAGGGAAUCCCAAGUGCGUAGGCAUAGAGCCUACGCUUUUGUCCACCGUAGGGAGGUGGACGAAUAAGGGCUGGGCAAGACCGGUGCUAGCCGCCGCGGUAAUACCGGCAGCCCGAGUGAUGACCGAUCUUAUUGGGCCUAAAGCGUCCGUAGCUGGCCGCACAAGUCCAUCGGAAAAUCCACCCGCUCAACGGGUGGGCGUCCGGUGGAAACUGUGUGGCUUGGGACCGGAAGGCGCGACGGGUACGUCCGGGGUAGGAGUGAAAUCCUGUAAUCCUGGACGGACCGCCGAUGGCGAAAGCACGUCGCGAGAACGGAUCCGACAGUGAGGGACGAAAGCUAGGGUCUCGAACCGGAUUAGAUACCCGGGUAGUCCUAGCCGUAAACAAUGCCUGCUAGGUGUGGCUCCCACUACGAGUGGGUGCUGUGCCGUAGGGAAGCCGCUAAGCAGGCCGCCUGGGAAGUACGUCCGCAAGGAUGAAGCUU